rnacentral:rRNA from 1 species
ACUAGCUUUAACGAUGGAUCGGCCGAUUCGCGUAUCGAUGAAAAACGCAGCUAGCUGCGAUAUUUACCACGAAUUGCAGACGCUUUGAGUGGCAAAAUUUUGAACGCAUAGCGCUGUUGGGUAUUUCCCUUCAGCACGUUUGGUUCAGGGUU